GUGGCAUUUGACCUGGCCCACCUGUAGCCAGGGCUUUCUGUGAAGCGGCAUCUCCAGGUCAGGGUGAGUCUGGGGGGCCUUGAGGGCCCCUCUUUAGUUUCUGAGAAGGCUUGUGACAGCUAUCCUUGAAUUCAGACAGAAUGACUGUCCUGCACCUUGGCCAACCAUGACAGCAGGAGCCACCUCUGGAUCCCGGGUCUCUCCUCUGUGCAAAGGCCCUGAGGCAGGAGCAGCUCAGUGUGUGGGAAGAGCAGUCCGGAGGCGCGUGGCGAGUGCAGAGGAGGGUGGCGGUGGGUGGCACGACGGGCCAGGUGAGAGGGUCCUUCAGACUCUGGCAGGGGUUUG
rnacentral:lncRNA from 1 species